CAAGAUCAAAUAAUUUUAUUUAAUAAAAUAAAAUUUCAGCAAGUUUAACUUCCUCUACAUCAUAAGUGUCCAAAAUUAAGACCUAAUUUUAGAAGUCUUUUAACUUCAAGAGUCCUUCACUUCCCUACAAUGCUGACUUUGUAGCCUGAAAUAUCAAGAAGUCCUCCCAACUGGCUGAUAAGGACACCCAUCAGAAGGUUAACAUCAAAAGCUAAGCUAAAUAAUAGGGAAUGAUAUAUUCAAGAAUAUUGGUGGAACCAGAGAAUUUAAUAAACUUCAGUCCUGAGUAUUGGUUCAAUCUGACCAAAUGCUGGAAAAUGCAUAUCUCUCCACUCAACUAGAAGGAAAAGCUUACAUGGCGCUGACUUGUCAACGAAAAGACUGCUUGAAAGAAGGAAGAGAGAAUAAUUUUACAAACAACGCAUUUUGGUUAAAACCUGCACAACGUGUAUGGCUAGUCCUAGGGUCUGAUAUCUUUACUCAAAUCUAUAAAGAUAGCAUUGU